rnacentral:rRNA from 1 species
UACAGAGGGUGCAAGCGUUGUUCGGAAUUAUUGGGCGUAAAGGGCGCGUAGGCGGUGCGGUAAGUCUGUAGUGAAAUCUCUGGGCUCAACUCAGAGUCUGCUGCAGAAACUGCCGUGCUUGAGUGUGGGAGAGGUGAGUGGAAUUCCCGGUGUAGCGGUGAAAUGCGCAGAUAUCGGGAAGAACACCCGUGGCGAAGGCGGCACUCUGGGACGGUACUGACGCUGAGACGCGAAAGCGUGGGGAGCGAACAGG